UACGAGGGGAGCUAGCGUUGUUCGGAAUUACUGGGCGUAAAGGGCGUGUAGGCGGUACCAUAAGUCAGAUGUGAAAGCCCUGGGCUUAACCUAGGAUGUGCAUUUGAUACUGUGGAACUAGAGAUCGAGAGAGGAAAGUGGAAUUACGAGUGUAGAGGUGAAAUUCGUAGAUAUUCGUAAGAACACCAGUGGCGAAGGCGACUUUCUGGCUCGAUACUGACGCUAAGGCGCGAAAGCGUGGGGAGCAAACAGG
rnacentral:rRNA from 1 species